GACGAACCGUGUGAACGUUAUUCGGAAUCAUUGGGCUUAAAGGGCGCGUAGGCGGCGGCGUAAGUUGGAAGUGAAAUCCCAUCGGCUCAACCGUGGAAUUGCUCCCAGUACUGCGUCGCUCGAGGGGGAUAGGGGUCUGCGGAACUACCGGUGGAGCGGUGAAAUGUGUUGAUAUCGGUGGGAACGCCAGUGGCGAAAGCGGCAGACUUGACCCUUCCUGACGCUGAGGCGCGAAAGCUAGGGUAGCAAACGGG
rnacentral:rRNA from 1 species